UACGUAGGGUGCGAGCGUUGUCCGGAAUUACUGGGCGUAAAGAGCUCGUAGGUGGUUUGUCGCGUUGUUCGUGAAAUCCCACGGCUUAACUGUGGGCGUGCGGGCGAUACGGGCAGACUGGAGUACUGCAGGGGAGACUGGAAGUUCCUGGUGUAGCGGUGGAAUGCGCAGAUAUCAGGAGGAACACCGGUGGCGAAGGCGGGUCUCUGGGCAGUGAACUGACGCUGGAGGAGCGAAAGCGUGGGGAGCGAACAGGA
rnacentral:rRNA from 1 species